rnacentral:rRNA from 1 species
CAAUAGCGUAUAUUAAAGUUGUUGCAGUUAAAAAGCUCGUAGUUGGAUUUCUGUUUUGGAUGUCCGGUCCGCUCCCUCUGGGAGUGCGUACUUAUGGAUGUUCGAGGCAUUUUUUGUGAGGUCGCUUUUCUGCCAUUAAGUUGGUGGUUUUGCGGGCUUGCAUCGUUUACUGUGAAAAAAUUAGAGUGUUUAAAGCAGGCGUUUGCUCAUUUGAAUACAUUAGCAUGGAAUAAUAAGAUACGGCCUUGGUGGUCUAUUUUGUUGGUUUGCACACCAGGGUAAUGAUUAAUAGGGACAGUUGGGGGUAUUCAUAUUUCAGCGUCAGAGGUGAAAUUCUUGGAUCGCUGAAUGAUGAGCUUAGGCGAAAGCAUUUACCAAGGAUGUUUUCAUUAA